UUUCUAGUCAAAGUCAAAAAGCUUGCUUUCCCGCUAAAACCUUGAAAAUGAGUUUUUUCACCAAAUCAAUUUUUUUCUUCUGAAACCGCAAAAUCAACUUUUCCUCCUCAAUUUCAUAAUCUAGUUUUCUCACAAAAAAGUGUUUCCAACAAAACCACAAAACAAUAUUUCCGCCAAAACCCUAAAACAAAAUUUUCCGCACAAUUUUUUUUUGUUUUGCCACCAAAACUUAAAACGAGUUUUUUGGCCAAAACCUAUUGUAGCAGAUUUUUUUUGUAAUUUUAAUGUCUUUUAUAUGGUAUUUUAAUAGAA
rnacentral:lncRNA from 1 species